UGGUACUCCCAAGGUGGAUAGAUACUUAGAAGCAUGGGUAGUCUUGAGUACCUCUGCACAUAUAGCAAUAAGGACCUAAAUUUGAUUCUGAAAUCUGAGCAAUCCAUCAUCUAAAAUCCUAAAAUCAUGAGAUUUUUUAGAAGUGAAUUUUCAUAGAUUCUUGGCAAGUCCUAGUUUCGUGUCCUGGGUUUCCCAGAUCUUCAUAAAGAGAUCCAGUAUGGUUUGAAUUUGAGCGAGAUAGAUGACCUUGCCGUAGUAGCUAAGGCGGAGCGAUUGUAUCGUGUCCAUCAACUUC
rnacentral:lncRNA from 1 species